rnacentral:lncRNA from 1 species
GGAACCAGAUCUUGAUCUGGCGCUCGGACAGGCAGAGUGCGUGGGCGAUCUCGAUGCGCCGUCGCCGGGUCAGGUUGCUUGUCUGGAGAUGGAGCCACUACAGGCGGGCCUGGGCGCCUGGAGUCGGGCAUGAAAGAAAAUAGCGCCUCAUCGCUCUUAUCUAAGCCCAGAGGUAGACUUCGCUUGAAAAGAUCGAGAAUGGAGGAGGGGAUCGGCACUCACUUGCAGACAUCAACAGUUUCCAGAAAAUUCGGUUCAAUUCCUUCACCACGGACCCACCAACCAAGGAGCUGGCAAAACCCACUAACCAACCAGGAGAACACAGACCCGGUUUGUCUUUUGACAACCGAGUGGAACUGACGGGGCCGGCGCCUGCCCUGCGGGUCCCCUCCCUUGGCUGAGAAGAAAACCAAAUAAACCUUGAACAGCCUUGGCUUCG